rfam:Phascolarctobacterium sp. CAG:207 genomic scaffold, scf14
AAUCAGAAGAUAAUCGGGCCAUAGACAGCAGGUGCGGUAACGCAUAAGUAGAAAUACACCUGCCGAGGCUGGAGACGAUGAAGAUAGACCUUCGCGACCUCCGGCUUAGGCCGAGAGGUCUUUUUGAUUUUAUA